rnacentral:rRNA from 1 species
UGAACGCUAGCGACAGGCUAACACAUGCAAGUCGAGGGGCAGCAUAAAAGUAGCAAUACUUGGUGGCGACCGGCGCACGGGUGAGUAACGCGUAUGCAACCUACCUAUCAGAGGGGAAUAACCCGGCGAAAGUCGGACUAAUACCGCAUAAAACAGGGGCACCGCAUGGUGAUAUUUGUUAAAGAAAUUCGCUGAUAGAUGGGCAUGCGUUCCAUUAGGUAGUUGGUGAGGUAACGGCUCACCAAGCCGACGAUGGAUAGGGGAACUGAGAGGUUGGUCCCCCACACUGGUACUGAGACACGGACCAGACUCCUACGGGAGGCAGCAGUGAGGAAUAUUGGUCAAUGGGCGAGAGCCUGAACCAGCCAAGUCGCGUGAAGGAAGAAGGAUCUAUGGUUCGUAAACUUCUUUUGCAGGGGAAUAAAGUGCAGGACGUGUCCUGUUUUGUAUGUACCCUGAGAAUAAGGAUCGGCUAACUCCGUGCCAGCAGCCGC